ACGGAAGGCAGCAGUGAGGAAUAUUGGUCAAUGGACGGAAGUCUGAACCAGCCAAGUCGCGUGAAGGAAGACGGUUCUAUGGAUUGUAAACUUCUUUUGCAUGAGGGUAAAGUGACCUACGUGUAGGUUAUUGCAAGUACCAUGUGAAUAAGCAUCGGCUAACUCCGUGCCAGCAGCCGCGGUAAUACGGAGGAUGCGAGCGUUAUCCGGAUUUAUUGGGUUUAAAGGGUGCGUAGGCGGGAUGUUAAGUCAGCGGUGAAAGUUUGGGGCUCAACCGUAAAAUUGCCGUUGAAACUGGCGUUCUUGAGUGUAUGCGGGGUUGGCGGAAUAUAACGUGUAGCGGUGAAAUGCUUAGAUAUGUUAUAGAACCCCGAUUGCGAAGGCAGCUGACCAGCAUGCAACUGACGCUGAGGCACGAAAGCGUGGGUAUCAAACAGGAUUAGAUACCCUGGUA
rnacentral:rRNA from 1 species